GCUGAAACGGCGGCGGCGGCUCGCUGUCUUCAAGGGGGCAGCCCGCACUCCGACUGAGCCGCUGAAGCGACGCGCAUUCUCCGCUCUCCGCCGAUCUCACUUCGCGGACCCCAUCGCCGCUCCGAAACGGGCGGACCUGCCCUUCGUCCACCGGACUCCCACGGCGAGUGGCCACCCCGGGGCGAUCUUUCGCUUUCUCUUUCCUCUUUUCUAAGGGAAAGUGUUGAACGCACGCAAGGACAUUAUUCUCUGAGCUCAGGAGCGUACUCUCCAAGACAUGUGCACAACAAGAGAUUGCCGUGUGAAUGCGCUCCUCUUCAUCUUCAUCCUUUGUGCCCCGAUGGCAUACGGCCAAGGUUACUUCCCUGAGGAGGGGGGUGCUGUCACUCUGGAUGCGGAUGUCAUGGAAAAAGAGAGGGGGCGUGGCCUGGUCCCCACCACCCAUGACACGGACAGAGAGGUCCACGUGGUUACAACCGCCCCUCCCAUCAACAUUCCCAACCACCACCCGCUCUUGAAGGAGUACCUGCUUCCCGAGGCCCUGCUGACGAAGGAUUUCCGGGGCCAGAAGCACUUUUUUGAGGAUGACGGGGGGUCGGAAAGGGACUCCACCAAGCCAUCCUCCAGCUCCCGCGUUGUCAAAGAGCCGCCCACCCACCUGGCCCCACCCGAGGCACGAGACUUCCCCGACAUAGCCUACAGUUUGGCCGGCAGGCCGGCCACCUCUCCUACGGUGAGUGUGGCCCCCAGUUCCCCGGCCCUGCCUGGGUUGGCUGCCCAAGCUGCACUCCUGAACCACGGUGGGAGAACCACCAGCAGGCUGGAGGAGGGAUGGACCACCAACUCCCUCACCACACCUGUCCCGCGCACCUCUGCUGCCCCUCAUCCCAGCAGCGGCGAAACCACCCAGGCUGCUGCCAGUCCCUCGGCCCUGACCACCUUGGCGGCAAAGGUUACCACGGCAACACGGGACGGCCCCCGCCAUGAGGUCACUCCGGUGACAUCAUCCUCCACGGGAGAUGUGGAUUACGAAACGAUUUCCAGCACCAUCAUCACCACCACAAUCAUCACAACUGCACAGACACCAGCUCCAUGCAGCACCAACUUCACCGCCCCAGAGGGCCACAUAGAGGUGCCAGCACAACCUGAAGCAUGGUCCUACCCCGGCCUGGACUGCACCUGCACCAUAUCCGUCUACAUGGGCUACGGAGUGGAGAUUCAGGUAUUGAACGUGAGCCUGUUGGAGGGCGAGAUGGUGACACUGGAGGACCUGGGCUGCCGGGAGCCCUUGGUUCUGGCCAAUGAGUCCAUCCUGAUGAAGGGACUGGUGGUGCGCAGCCAGAGCAACCACAUCGCCGUCCGCUUCCGUAGCGAGCAGCGGCCUCAGCCCGGCUCCUUCCUGCUGAGGUACCAGGCUUUCGUGUUGAGCUGCCCUUUCCCCCAGCGACCAGCCUAUGGUGAUGUGUCCGUCACCAGCCUUCAUGCAGGUGGAGAAGCCUAUUUCUACUGCCUCAAUGGCUACCAGCUUCUGGGUCCCUCGACGCUGACCUGCCGCAAUGCCACCACCCCCUACUGGAGUGGCAGGGAGCCCCGUUGCCUGGCCUCAUGUGGUGGGAUGAUCAAGCCUGCCACUGUGGGCCGCAUCGUGUCCCCCGGUUUCCCAGGCAACUACAGCAACAACCUGACAUGCCACUGGGUGCUGGAGGCCCCCUUGGGCCACCGGCUGCAUAUCCACUUCGAGAAGGUGGCUCUGGCCGAGGAUGAUGACAGACUGCUGAUCAAGAACGGCAACAACAUUGACUCACCACCCCUCUACGACUCCUACGAGGUGGAGUACCUGCCCAACGAGGGCAUCGUCAGCAGCAGCCACCACCUAUUCGUGGAGCUCAUUACCGAUGCGUCAGGAACAUCCACCGGCACAGCCAUUCGAUACGAAGCCUUUGCUCAGGGCCGCUGCUACGAGCCAUUCGUCAAGUACGGCAACUACACCAGCAGCGACGCCAACUACACGGUGGGCGCCGUGGUGGAGUUCUCCUGCGACCCCGGCUACACGCUGGAGCAGGGCUCCGUCCUCAUCGAGUGCAUGGAUCCCAGCAACCCGCAGUGGAACGAGACCGAGCCCGCCUGCAGGGCUGUCUGCAGCGGAGAGAUCACCGACUCGGCUGGAGUUGUCUUGUCUCCCAAUUGGCCCGAGGCCUAUGACAAGGGUCAGGACUGCAUCUGGGGCAUCCAUGUGGAAGAAGACAAGAGGAUCAUGCUGGACAUCCAAGUGCUCCACGUGGGCAAGAACGACGUGCUGACCUUCUACGACGGCGACGACCUGACGGCCAAGGUGCUGGGCCAGUACGCCGGGUCCCGGCCACGUUUCAAACUCUACACCUCCAUGGCUGACGUCAUCAUCCAGUUCCAGUCCGACCCAGCCACCAACGUCUUCGGCUACCACAACGGAUUCGUCAUACACUUCUUUGAGGUCCCCCGCAAUGACACAUGUCCUGAGCUCCCGGAGAUCACCAACGGCUGGAAGAGCACCUCACACCCCGAGCUCAUACACGGCACGGUGGUCACCUACCAGUGCUACCCCGGAUUCGAGCUGCAGGGCACGGAGAUUCUCAUGUGCCAGUGGGACCUGACGUGGAGUGGCGACUUGCCCAGCUGUGAGAAAGUGAGGCUGUGUGCAGACCCCGGCAACGUGGAGCACAGCCGCCGGAUAACGUCAGGCCCCCGGCUAUCGGUGGGCUCCACGGUGCAGUACGUCUGCAACAAGGGCUACAUGCUAUCUGGCAAUAGUCUGCUAACCUGCCACAACCACAACUCCGCUGGGCCCAGGUGGAGCAAGACUCCACCCAAGUGUGUCCCCGAGACCUACGACACCUGCAAAAACCCCGGCACCCCCCCAUUCAGCAUCCAGAGCCAAGAAAAGCCCUUUUACCAGGCUGGGGAGACGCUGCGCUUCACCUGCCUUACCGGCUAUGAGCUGCAGGGGGAGCCGGCUCUCUGCUGUGUCCCCGGACACCCUUCACGGUGGAGUCACCCGCCUCCUGUCUGCCAGGCCUCCGCCGUGGAGUACUCCAAGCGCCGCAUAGAUGUUGCCGGUGCCGACUUCAGUAUAGAAGGAAUAAGCAUAGCAGUGGCGGUCUUCAUCCCCGUCGCGAUCAUCCUGGCUCUGAUCUUCGGGAUUUACCUGUACUUCUCCAAAGUACAAGGGAAGUCCUUCCUCCAACCCAUGUCCAGCUCUGUGCCAUAUAACCACAUCACGCCAGAUUUCGCUUCCAGAGUCCGCAGCUAUGACAACGGACCCCGGCUCGUGAUCUCUGAUUACUAACGGCUGUGUCUGUCUGUCCCACUGCGGCUGCAUCCCUGAAGAACCACGAGGAAACCAGAGAAUACGAGGUUUCCAUUUAGAGACACGAAGCAUUUCAGCAUGGGGGAAAUCAAGCCAUUUUUGCCUUGUGGGAAUUGGUCUGCACCAUUCAUCUCUCCUGUGACUCCUCCAGUACCUCCUCUUUCCAUUCUUCUUCACGUCUCCUGUCUCCUGAUGUAUAUAUUAUUAUUUUCAGAGGACUUCAUGCAAGCACUGCAAAGGAUGUGAAAGACACAGUGUUAUUUUUGUAGAGCUCGUUACCAAUGGCCUAGCUGCAGUGUUUGUAUAUUUUCUAUCCUGUGACAUAGCCCAGCGGGAUUAAGUACUAUAAUAUGUCAUAUGGGAGGGGGGAAAUGCAAUUUUUUUAUCUAUCAAUGUCAGUCAAGAUACUUUGUAAAAGUUACAGGGCAACCGUGGGGAAAAUAUUUAUUUUAAAUGUUUAAUUUAACUGUAGUUCACGAGAUGAAGUAUUUGGUGAAUAUUGGACAAGGAAACGAUGAGCGAAAACUUGGUAUUUAUGGCAACUGCAGUCUUACACUUAUGGUAUUCAAUCCAAAUGUUACACGGCUGCAUAUCUGCAGGACCUCAUCUCUCCAAGGCUUAGCGAGAACUUGCUGUUGAUUUGAAAGUUCCAGUUCCUGGGAAAGUUUCAGUUACAGGUCUCCCAGCUGUGCCAUCUAACUGUGGUGGAAAUAAAUGGAAAAAGAUUUGUAAAUCACUUGCGCAAUACCAAUUAGAGACAGGUCUCAGCUUGUCAGUGAGUGUGCAUAUUUCCAUGGGGACCCACAAAGAGCAUUUAUCGUGCUCUCUUGAGUGUCUCACUAUUACUCAUCCCUCAGACUUUUAGAGUGGCACAAAUACCUGCCUAUGGUUUCCAUCUUCCCAAGGUGAUAAAACUGUCAAAUUUAUGGGAAGAAAAUAGCUAUAAAUUUCUGUAUGAAGGGUAAGUACAGUAUUCCUGCAUUAUUACACCCCUUGCCAUUUAAUGUUCAACUUUUUGCCUUGGGAUUGUUUGUGCCUGUGCUGUAGGAUGUUGGGUGUCAAGCUGCCAAACAUUGGGAUUAGCCAUUACGAAAGGUAAUUUGCCAGAAGGUUCUUUCAGUGUCAUGUGUGACUGUGUCGAAUAUCGGUUUUUACAUUCUAAGAGGUCCGUUGUUUGACACGACAACAAACCCUGGCUGUCAAAGCCACUGUGAACGUGGGACAUAACGCCUCAUGCAGGCCUCAGAUUCUGGAGGAGAGUGACUUGGGCUGCCUCUCAGUAGACCUGAUGUACAAUCUGGAAAAAAACUGCAUCUGCUUUUGGUUGUCAGUUAAGUGACCAGCUACUUCAAAAAUAUAGCUGUAACACCGUGCGAUUGGAGCAUCGAGAAAAGUGGAACCAGCUAAAGGUAGAUUAAACAUCAGAGGAAAUUGGGGAGUUUCAGUGAGUCCAUCAAACUAAGUCAGUUCACUUAUAAAUAUAUUUAUUUCCACAAUUUUAAUUCAUGUAUACUUAUAGGGAUUGUAUAAAAGGCAAUAAUCAAUUAACAUGGCCAGAUAGGGUUUCACAAAUUCGCUGUGCCAUUUGCACAGAAUAUUGUAUUGUUUGUAGGAGGGUGCUUAUGACAUCACCACACAUCUGUCUGCCUGGUGUGACUGGAUAGUAAAUAAUGCACUAUAACCACUACUGUAAGGAAUGCAGUACAAUUCACAUCACACUGUUCAUGCGAUUACCUUCAUACUUUGAAAUAAUAAACUUGUGUAAAUGUA